ACUCCUGCGGGAGGCAGCAGUGGGGAAUUUUGGACAAUGGGCGAAAGCCUGAUCCAGCAAUGCCGCGUGAGUGAAGAAGGCCUUCGGGUUGUAAAGCUCUUUUGUCAGGGAAGAAACGGUGAGAGCUAAUAUCUUUUGCUAAUGACGGUACCUGAAGAAUAAGCACCGGCUAACUACGUGCCAGCAGCCGCGGUAAUACGUAGGGUGCAAGCGUUAAUCGGAAUUACUGGGCGUAAAGCGUGCGCAGGCGGUUUUGUAAGUCUGAUGUGAAAUCCCCGGGCUCAACCUGGGAAUUGCAUUGGAGACUGCAAGGCUAGAAUCUGGCAGAGGGGGGUAGAAUUCCACGUGUAGCAGUGAAAUGCGUAGAUAUGUGGAGGAACACCGAUGGCGAAGGCAGCCCCCUGGGUCAAGAUUGACGCUCAUGCACGAAAGCGUGGGGAGCAAACAGGAUUAGAUACCCGAGUAGUCCCAUG
rnacentral:rRNA from 1 species